rnacentral:rRNA from 1 species
UACGAAGGGGGCUAGCGUUGCUCGGAAUCACUGGGCGUAAAGGGUGCGUAGGCGGGGUUUUAAGUCAGGGGGGAAAUCCUGGAGCUCAACUCCAGAACUGCCUUUGAUACUGAAGAUCUCGAGUCCGGGAGAGGUGAGUGGAACUGCGAGUGUAGAGGUGAAAUUCGUAGAUAUUCGCAAGAACACCAGUGGCGAAGGCGGCUCACUGGCCCGGUACUGACGCUGAGGCACGAAAGCGUGGGGAGCAAACAGG